rnacentral:lncRNA from 1 species
UGUGUAUGUAUUUCAAUUAUGGAUGUUAGAAUCUUUUCAAGCUUAUGGCAGUGUUGUUUUCAUCAUGUGUUUUGAGUAUAAAUAGUAACCUAAACACUUGAGAGUUGAGAGAAUUUUAUCUUAUGAGGAUCCUGUUGCAAAUGACGUACUCUUUGGUAAACUGUCUUCUUACUUGCUUUGACUCUCAUAAAAAUUUACUCACUAAUGUCAUACCCCAAUUUUGCCCCACUCUUUUUCCAUUUUUUUUCUUUC